UACGUAGGGAGCAAGCGUUGUCCGGAAUCAUUGGGCGUAAAGAGCGCGUAGGCGGCCCGAUAAGUCCGCUGUGAAAGUCAAGGGCUCAACCCUUGAAUGCCGGUGGAUACUGUCGGGCUAGAGUCCGGAAGAGGCGAGUGGAAUUCCUGGUGUAGCGGUGAAAUGCGCAGAUAUCAGGAGGAACACCAAUGGCGAAGGCAGCUCGCUGGGACGGUACUGACGCUGAGGCGCGAAAGCGUGGGGAGCAAAAGGG
rnacentral:rRNA from 1 species